ACGCUCGACACCUACGGGAGACAGCAGUAGGGAAUCUUCCACAAUGGGCGCAAGCCUGAUGGAGCAACACCGCGUGAGUGAAGAAGGGUUUCGGCUCGUAAAGCUCUGUUGUUGGAGAAGAACGUGCGUGAGAGUAACUGUUCACGCAGUGACGGUAUCCAACCAGAAAGUCACGGCUAACUACGUGCCAGAAGCCGCGGUAAUCUGAGCGGGCUGGCAAGGC
rnacentral:rRNA from 1 species